rnacentral:rRNA from 1 species
AGAGUUUGAUCCUGGCUCAGGAUGAACGCUGGCGGCGUGCUUAACACAUGCAAGUCGAACGAGCCUUCGGGCUAGUGGCGGACGGGUGAGUAACGCGUGAGAAUCUGCCCUCAGGAGGGGGAUAACGGCUGGAAACGGCCGCUAAUACCCCAUAUGCCGCGAGGUGAAACGAGUUUUCGCCUGAGGAUGAGCUCGCGUCUGAUUAGCUAGUUGGUGGGGUAAGAGCCUACCAAGGCAUCGAUCAGUAGCUGGUCUGAGAGGAUGAUCAGCCACACUGGGACUGAGACACGGCCCAGACUCCUACGGGAGGCAGCAGUGGGAAUUUUCCGCAAUGGGCGCAAGCCUGACGGAGCAACGCCGCGUGAGGGAUGAAGGCCUCUGGGCUGUAAACCUCUUUUCUCAAGGAAGAAGAACUGACGGUACUUGAGGAAUAAGCCACGGCUAAUUCCGUGCCAGCAGCCGCGGUAAUACGGGAGUGGCAAGCGUUAUCCGGAAUUAUUGGGCGUAAAGCGUCCGCAGGCGGUCUUGAAAGUCUGUUGUUAAAGAGUGGAGCUCAACUCCAUUUCAGCAAUGGAAACUAGAAGACUAGAGUGUGGUAGGGGCAGAGGGAAUUCCCGGUGUAGCGGUGAAAAGCGUAGAUAUCGGGAAGAACACCAGUGGCGAAGGCGCUCUGCUGGGCCAUAACUGACGCUCAUGGACGAAAGCCAGGGGAGCGAAAGGGAUUAGAUACCCCUGUAGUCCUGGCCGUAAACGAUGAACACUAGGUGUCGGGGGAAUCGACCCCCUCGGUGUUGUAGCCAACGCGUUAAGUGUUCCGCCUGGGGAGUACGCACGCAAGUGUGAAACUCAAAGGAAUUGACGGGGGCCCGCACAAGCGGUGGAGUAUGUGGUUUAAUUCGAUGCAACGCGAAGAACCUUACCAGGGUUUGACAUCCUGCGAAUCUUUUGGAAACAGAAGAGUGCCUUCGGGAGCGCAGAGACAGGUGGUGCAUGGCUGUCGUCAGCUCGUGUCGUGAGAUGUUGGGUUAAGUCCCGCAACGAGCGCAACCCACGUCUUUAGUUGCCAGCAUUGAGUUGGGCACUCUAGAGAGACCGCCGGUGAUAAACCGGAGGAAGGUGUGGAUGACGUCAAGUCAUCAUGCCCCUUACAUCCUGGGCUACACACGUACUACAAUGCUACGGACAGAGGGCAGCAAACUCGCGAGAGCUAGCAAAUCCCAUAAACCGUGGCUCAGUUCAGAUCGUAGGCUGCAACUCGCCUACGUGAAGGAGGAAUCGCUAGUAAUCGCAGGUCAGCAUACUGCGGUGAAUACGUUCCCGGGCCUUGUACACACCGCCCGUCACACCAUGGAAGUUGGCCAUGCCCGAAGUCGUUACUCCAACCCUUGUGGAGGAGGACGCCGAAGGUGGGGCUGAUGACUGGGGUGAAGUCGGAACAAGGUA